rnacentral:rRNA from 1 species
UAACGCGUGAGGAACCUGCCUUUCAGAGGGGGACGAACAGCUGGAAACGGCUGCUAAUACCGCAUAAUGUACAGGGGUCGGCAUGGUCUCUGUACCAAAGAUUUAUCGCUGAGAGAUGGCCUCGCGUCUGAUUAGCUAGUUGGUGAGGUAAUGGCCCACCAAGGCGACGAUCAGUAGCCGGACUGAGAGGUUGGCCGGCCACAUUGGGACUGAGAUACGGCCCAGACUCCUACGGAAGGCAGCAG